AAAAAUGCAUGACUUGGAUUUCUAGGCCACCAAAAAAUUUCGCAGUUGGUGGCGUAGGAAAGUGUUUUCUGGGCCACCAAGUUUUUAAAUUGGUGGCCUAGAAAAUUCCAAAUUUCAAAUUUCUAGGCCACCAAAAAUUUUGAAUUGGAA
ensembl:ncRNA Y39G8C.10 ncRNA